ACUUCUCCAUAGUGCGAAAACACGUGUAUCAAACAACUAAAAUUUUAAGGCAAAUGCAAUAUUUUACACACAAAUAAAAAUAUACUGUUUGUGUCAUCAUGCACAAUGAUAUAUUGUGUACUUUUAAUGUUUGAGUGCGCUGUGAGGAAUUUGUAUUAUAAGGUAGUCAGCUGCAAACUACAUUUGUGAUUCCUAUAAAUUAGGCAUGAUGUGUGUGUUCGGACAUUUGGAAGAUUAAAUGUGUUAUGAGUAACCUAUUUUGUAGUAUAUCAACAGUUGUGAGCUACAGUUGUGUUUUAUUCACAAUUUUGGCAGCCUAUCUUGUUCGGGAAACAAUAUUUCCUUAACUGUAAUACAGUUAGCUGAAGUUAAAGUCAAGAAACAUAAAACAUUUUUGGAGUCAUGAGAAGUAAGCUGAAGUUCAGAUAAGGCAGUACUACUAUGCAAGUUUGCACAAGAAAAAUUCACCAGUCAGCAGUUUGCCUACUGUCUUCUGCCAAGACAUGAAAUUUAAGAAGAAGAAAUUGAAACUAAAAGAACAAUGCUUGAAACUAGAUUUCAAAUGGAUCAGACAAUAGCAGGUACAAGAAGUUUCCAUUAUUUUAAGCCAGUUUCUUGCAAAGAAGUUACAGCCACACGAGUGAGUUCAGACUUGAAAAUUUUGUUGAAACAAUAUAUUUUUAUGACUAUCCCAACUAUUAAACCUACCCUACAUUCUUUUGUUGCAUGCACUUAUGAGCAAAACUGGUGGAUAGGAAUGAUUCUGGGUAUCAAUGAAGAAGAAGAAGAAGAAGAAGAAGAAGAAGAAGAAGGGGACUAUGAAAUUCUUUUUAUGCGCCCUCACGGACCAGCAGAAACUUUCUUUUGCCCUCGAAAAGAAGACAGAUGGCCUGUUCCACCAGCCCAUCUUCUAUGUGUAGUAGCUCUCCAGAGGUAGUAACACAGUUCGGCAGAUCAUAUAAGACUGAUGCUAAUUCCCGAAAGGAAAUCACCAAAACAUGGAACAAUUUCAAUGCUUUAUAGUAAAAAACCAUUAAUGGACACUUAAAUGUAAUUGUUGUACAUACUGCUUCAUAUAAACUUAGCAUAAUACUUCAACUGAAUAAUUAUUAAACUUUAAAGUCAUCAAAAACUCUCUGUACAAAGGAUUUGUUUGAAAAAGAAUAAUCGCUAACUCAUGUAUUCAAAUGUAAGUAAACCUAUUUUGUAAAAUUCUCAAUGUAUGUAUCUUAUAUUUGAAAAUAAUUGAUAGUUCAUCUGGUAUCUUCACAGCUGUAUUGACUUCAAAUAUUUAAUUAUUGUAUCAAACAUGUAUUUUACAAAGUAAAUUACAAAAUUUGAA